CUACCGAUGUGUAGUGCGAUGUGGGGACGGAGAAGGUUAACUCAGCCAACUGUUGGAUAUGUUGGUUCAAGCUUGUAGUCGUGCCUGGUAGGUAAAUCCGCCGGGCUUAGAUGAGGAGUGAUAACGAGUCUGCUUGCAGACGAAGUGAGUGAUACCCUGCUUCCAGGAAAAGCCACUAAGCUUCAGCUACACACGACCGUACCGCAAACCGACACUGGUGCGCGAGAUGAGUAUUCUAAGGCGCUUGAGAGAACUCAGGAGAAGGAACUCGGCAAAUUGACACCGUAACUUCGGAAGAAGGUGUGCCUUUAGUAGGUGAACCAUUUACUUGGGGAGCCCAAUGAGGCUGCAAAAAAUCGGUGGCUGCAACUGUUUAUUAAAAACACAGCACUCUGCUAAGACGAAAGUCGACGUAUAGGGUGUGACGCCUGCCCGGUGCUGGAAGAUUAAAUGAUGGGGUGCAAGCUCUUGAUUGAAGUCCCAGUAAACGGCGGCCGUAACUAUAACGGUCCUAAGGUAGCGAAAUUCCUUGUCGGGUAAGUUCCGACCUGCACGAAUGGCGUAAUGAUGGCCACACUGUCUCCUCCUGAGACUCAGCGAAGUUGAAAUGUUUGUGAUGAUGCAAUCUCCCCGCGGAAAGACGGAAAGACCCCAUGAACCUUUACUGUAGCUUUGUAUUGGACUUUGAACAGAUCUGUGUAGGAUAGGUGGGAGGCUUUGAAGUGUGGUCGCUAGAUCGCAUGGAGCCAACGUUGAAAUACCACCCUGGUGUGUUUGAGGUUCUAACCUAGGUCCAUUAUCUGGAUCGGGGACAGUGCAUGGUAGGCAGUUUGACUGGGGCGGUCUCCUCCCAAAGUGUAACGGAGGAGUUCGAAGGUACGCUAGGUACGGUCGGACAUCGUGCUAAUAGUGCAAUGGCAUAAGCGUGCUUGACUGCGAGACUGACAAGUCGAGCAGAUGCGAAAGCAGGACAUAGUGAUCCGGUGGUUCCGUAUGGAAGGGCCAUCGCUCAACGGAUAAAAGGUACUCUGGGGAUAACAGGCUGAUACCGCCCAAGAGUUCAUAUCGACGGCGGUGUUUGGCACCUCGAUGUCGGCUCAUCUCAUCCUGGGGCUGUAGCCGGUCCCAAGGGUAUGGCUGUUCGCCAUUUAAAGAGGUACGUGAGCUGGGUUUAAAACGUCGUGAGACAGUUUGGUCCCUAUCUUCCGUGGGCGCUGCAGAUUUGAGGAAGCCUGCUCCUAGUACGAGAGGACCGGAGUGGACGAACCUCUGGUGUAUCGGUUGUCACGCCAGUGGCAUUGCCGAGUAGCUAAGUUCGGAAGAGAUAACCGCUGAAAGCAUCUAAGCGGGAAACUCGUUUCAAGAUUAGAUCUGCCGGGGCCUUGAGCCCCCUAAAGAGUCGUUCAAGACCAGGACGUUGAUAGGUCAGGUGUGGAAGCGCAGUAAUGCGUUAAGCUAACUGAUACUAAUUGCUCGUGCGGCUUGACUCC
rnacentral:rRNA from 1 species